GUUAUAACAUCCAUCACCAUUUUGACCACUGAAACUUGGCCUUCUUUUCUUACAGCCUAGCCCUGUGGUCUUGGGCUAAUCAGUAACCUGCUUAGAUACAAUUUUCUUCUCUAUGAAAUAGAAACAAUAUUAUAUGCUUUGAAGGACUGCAGGAAGAUGAGCUGUAAUGUUUAUCAAGUGCCUAGGCUUCCCUGGUGGUGCAGUGGUUGAGAGUCUGCCUGCCGAUGCAGGGGACGCGGAUUCGUGCCCCCGUCCGGGAAGAUCCCACAUGCUGCGGAGCGGCUGGGCCCGUGAGCCAUGGCCGCUGAGCCUGAGCGUCCGGAACCUGUGCUCCGCAACGGGAGAGGCCACAACAGUGAGAGGCCCCAACAGUGAGAGGCCCGUGUACCGCAAAAAAAAAAAAACAACUCCGUUUUAAUUUAAUUUUUCUUGAGGUAACAUUGAUUACCACCUCUCAGCUCGAAAUUCACUCUUUUGUUACUUGCUCUGUGAAAAGUGCUAUGGGUCCUUUAAAUAGUUUUUCCUUGGCCAGCUUGUGUGAUGUUAGGCUUUCCUAAUUGAUGGCACCUGAGGAAGGUGUUGCUUCGUGAUGCCCCGGUGCUUGCUGGGAAGGCUCUUGGUGGCCUCUUCAGCACCCACUCACUCCUGCAGCUCUGAGGGCGUCCUCAGUCCUGCUUCCGGGGCUCACAACUUCUCCGGUAGUCGGCUUCAGCAGUGCGCAGAGAGAGCAGUGGACGACAGCUUCCGUCAGCAUCUUCUAUCAAGAAGUUUUGGAGUAGCGCCUCAGGUUAGAAAUCUCCCCGUGCAUAGUUUUACUGAACCCUAGAAUGUGGAUUUCCAGCAACUUACAGAGGGCAUAUUUCCAGAAAGUUCCACCAUGAGACACCACAGCAGCUUCUUUACCGUCCAGUGAGCCACAGUCAUGCUCUUUUCAACCGGGUCUGGACCUCAGUCCUGUGGGCAGGGAGGAGGAGGUCUUCUUUUCAACUGGAGGGUUAGCGGCUCUCCUUGUUUCUGCUAACUGUGUGUUUUGGCGUUCUCUUUACUUGUCGCUGGCCAUUCCUUCCUUACUCUAAUCCUCUUUCAUAAUUAAUAGUUUUUUCAUUACACUUUCCAUGCUCAAAUUACUGUUUGUUUUUCUUCUGGUUGGACCCAGAAUAAUAACUAAAUAAUCUAA